rnacentral:snRNA from 1 species
GUGCUCACUUUGGCAGCACAUAUACUAAAAUUGGAAUGAUACAAAGAAGAUUAGCAUGGCUCCUGCACAAAGAUAACAUGCAAAUUCGUGAAGCAUUCCAUGUUUUU